rnacentral:misc_RNA from 1 species
GCAAACUUGGUCAUUUAGAGGAAGUAAAAGUCGUAACAAGGUUUCCGUAGGUGAACCUGCGGAAGGAUCAUUAGUGAAUGAGACUCCGUGUCUCAAACACCAGUCGCAACUGGCUGUGCGCCUUUCGGGGCCGCACGCCGGGUGUGACCCAUCUCACACACCUGUGCACCUCUCAGAUGUCGGGCGCUGAAAAGCCUCGACUUCUGCCUUUACACGCACCACUGUCGUCGAAUGUAUAACGUAUUAAAUAAUACAACUUUCAACAACGGAUCUCUUGGCUCUCGCAUCGAUGAAGAACGCAGC